UUGUUGCUACUGCAUGUCUACAAUUAUCUCCAAUUUCUUUUAAUUAAAAAAAAAAAAUUUAAAAAUAGGUCUGCCCUGCUCCAGAAGCUGUCCUCUGAACCAGUUUUCUAGAUUGGUCAUAUUUCCCUUUUCAUGCUUGCUGCUAGGAAGCUCAGAGCAAAAUGUAUGCCCUCUCUCUAACAAGUGUAUAGGACUUCCUGACUACAUUUCUAGGUCUUUCUGUUCCUCUUGCCCUUAUAUCUCUUUGUCCUAUUUGAAAUUGCAUUCAUUUUGUUAAAUUCUUUUUUUUUUUUUUGGAGAUGGAGUCUUGCUCUGUCGCCCAGGCUGGAGUGCAGUGGCGCAAUCUCAGUUCACUGCAAGCUCCGCCUCCCAGGUUCACGCCAUUCUCCUGCCUCAGCCUCCCAAGUAGCUGGGACUACAGGCGCCCGCCACCACGCCUGGCUAAUUUUUUGUAUUUUUAGUAGAGAUGGGGUUUCACUGUGUUAGCCAGAAUGGUCUCGAUCUCCUGGCCUCAUGAUCUGCCCGCCUCAGCCUCCCAAAAUGCUAGGAUUACAGGCAUGAGCCACCAUGCCUGGCCUCAUUUUGUUUUACUAUGUCUUUAAAACUUCUUCAACACUUACUGGAAUAAAGUGGGCUUUAAAGAAAUGAAGCACCGCAGUUCGCAUGGCAGAGGCUGGUCAGCAUGUUGUAACCAGACCAUCAGCCCUCUUACUAGGCCUGCACGCUUUUGCUUUUGCAUUUACAAUCACAUGCCCCAUCCCCUCCACUUGAAAAAGAAUUUUUUUAAUUAUUUUUGUUGUUAUCCAAAAAUCUCAUCUUAAAUCAACCAUCUCCUCUCCCUGUAGCUUCAUUACCAUCUCAGAAGCAGCAAAGGAGCCAACAAAAGCUAAGGUACAGAAAGUUGCUUCAGAGGAUGAUGGUUUCCGCCUUUUCUUCACAUCUGUCCCUGGAGACCGUGAGAAGGAAGAGUCUCCCCAACCCUGCCGAAAGCGACAGCCCUCCAGCUCCAGCAGUGAGGACAGUGACGAGGAGUGGCGGCGGUGCCGGGAGGCAGCUGUGUCGGCGUCCGACAUUCUGCAGGAGUCAGCCAUCCACAGCCCUGGCACAGUGGAGAAGGAGGCAAAGAAGAAAAGGAAGUUGAAAAAGAAAGCCAAGAAGGUGGCCAGUGUCGACUCGGCUGUCGCUGCCACCACUCCCACCAGCAUGGCCACAGUCCAGAAGCAGAAGUCAGGUGAGCUCAACGGGGACCAGGUGUCACUUGGGACCAAAAGGAAGAAAAAGAAGAAAAAGGCAAAGAAGGCCAGCGAGGCCUCUCCAUUCCCACCAGCAAAGAGUGCCACAGCUGUACCUGCAAACUGAACCCAGCCAUGGGCACAGGGCUCAGCCAGCUCCAAGGACAAGGUGCCCCUACCCCCCCCGCCCCGGGGACAAGGAAUUUCCAAGCUCCACCUCCCUCUCCAAGUUCAAGGACUGGGCUGGCAAACCCAGACUGCCCAUGAGACCCUGAUGGUGAUGAGGGCUUGCUCGAGAGUUGGGCCAAAAAAGUGGCUGUAGGGUGAGAAGCCCAAUCAAGGCCUGCCCCUCUGUGCUCCCACGGAGGGCUGGCGGGGGGCGCUGUGGUUCCAGAACAUUUCAUGACCUCAGGAAAAAAGGAACCUUCCGGUUAUUUGAGACUAAUGGCCAAGUGGUGAAACCUCCAUCUCCCUAGAACCGUCUGCGGUGGGCAGG
rnacentral:sRNA from 1 species